UACAGAGGUCCCAAGCGUUGUUCGGAUUCAUUGGGCGUAAAGGGUGCGUAGGCGGCGCGGUAAGUCGGGUGUGAAAUCUCGGGGCUUAACUCCGAAACUGCAUUCGAUACUGCCGUGCUUGAGGACUGGAGAGGAGACUGGAAUUUACGGUGUAACGGUGAAAUGCGUAGAUAUCGUAAGGAAGACCAGUGGCGAAGGCGGGUCUCUGGACAGUUCCUGACGCUGAAGCACGAAGGUCAGGGGAGCAAACGGG
rnacentral:rRNA from 1 species